rnacentral:lncRNA from 1 species
GCGAAAAAUGUUGAACAAUGUUAAUAUGCAUUAAAAUUUAAAACCACUUCCGAAGGCAGAUUCGGGUAUAGACAAGUAGGGAGCACUAACUUUUAACUUUUUGCUUUAGCAGGACAAUUUAAUUUCGUUUUCAUUUUUUUUUUAUGCAUAAACAAAACAAAACGUUCAGUUUCAGUUAUGCUUAAAUUGUAAAACAGGAGACGGAGAGGAGAUGUCCGCUGCCCGCAUGACUCGGUUCCCCUUUGUUCUGACUCCGAUUUCGUUUUUAUUGAAGCCGACAAACUCCUGGUCCCCGCCGCUUAUCUGGCCUUGGCCAUUUACGUAGUUGCAUCUAUAUGAAUCUCAUUUGCUGAAGCUGGAAAAGAAAAGAUCGAAAAAUAAAAUAAAUAAGCCAAACCGUUCAAAUUAUAAAUACGAUAAAAUAAAUAAAUGCGACCCGAAAAUUAUUGCGAGACCCAUUUCACUUGUGGCAACAUUGACGACGUACGUUGCGUUGUUGAUCCAUCACAUGUGCUGUCACAGGGUUGUCCUCUUUGCGUUUGGGGCCAAAUAUUGCAUGGGUUAUUAAUUUUGUUGCUAGAUAUUUCAUAUUUGUGUUGUUAAUUUCUCGAGUCGAUGUUGUGUUUCUAUUUUCUAAGCUUGCAUGUGGCAAGCUAGCUCACUUCAUUACACGGAUUUUUCUCAGCUUUGUCCCAGCCACCGUUUUGUAAAAUAUCUUAAAAGCAACUCCAAAAGAUUGUCCC